UGUGCAUGUAUUGUGUGAAUUAGCUAAGCUAAUUAGUGGCUCACGUUACCUAGGCUAGAAAUGGAUAACGGGACACCCUAGUUUUAGGCUAUAUAUUGAGAUUGCAUCAUUUGUAAAUUGUUGAAAUACUCUCGAUUAUUAAUAACGUUCUGAAAUACACUAAAUUCCCUUGUGCUGCUUAUUGGGGAGGUAAGCUGGGGGCUCUGAGUCAAUUAAAGGGCAAUUAGCAAUUUAGUGUAAGUGUGCGCGUACACGUUUCUGUCGUCGCCAGUUGGUAGAGGUGUCGACAGUGUGAACAGCCCGAGGCAGCGGGAAUCGCACUCUGACCAUCUUCGCGUGCUCAUUCCUCGGAGUUCACGACAAACUGAUAAAACACACCCGACAAAAAGAAUAACAUUAAAUUUAGACGUAAACAUUCAGAUGGAAGUGGUGCGAGCAGAUCUUUAUUUUAAUAAGGAAUGGAUGAUAUACGAUAUUUACUUUUUAUUUAUUUUACAGACUUAGAAACACUAUACGACAAGCUACAAAGAGGAGAUGUAAACAGUCCUUCUGUUUACCAAACACUAGGACCACAGCAGACUUCAAACGACUUCACAGAUAAUGAAGAUGAAGGAAAGUCACAAGUGUAUGAAGUCCCGACUGAUCGGCAUGAAAACACAAGAGGAAGACGACAAAAGAGACAGUCUAUCAGAACAGCACAUUUUCUUAGUGGUUCUUUUUUCGUACUUCUUUUAUAUUUUGUUAAUUUAGAAGUUCACUGUCCAAUUCUCGAGAGACAAGUUUCCUAUUGCAUUAUUGUUCAUACAUUUUGCUUCGUUGGUAUAACUGUUUGUUGCCCUGGUUGUUUGGAACAUCUUGGAGAAAGAUAGCUACGUCUGCAAUAUGACAAAAACCUUUUUCAACAUUUUUCAGAGUAAUUUUGUCGUUCGUUCAUAUUAUUAAAAAUAUUAAAAAAGAAAAAUUUGC